AGGAAGGCAGAAUCCAUACGUCUAAGGACAGGUCUGGAGAAGAAUAACAUAUGUUGUGCCUGGAGUCACAUCAUCUGAGAAUAGAAGCAGAAACUCUGCAGCGAGCUAUUUCCUACAACCGAAUGACCCUGGGCAAGUCCUUUGCCUCUCUCUGCGGUAGUUUCCCACCUGUAAGAGGAGAAUAAUCAAAUAGCCUCUCCACUGGUGUGAGAAUUACAGGCUUCUCCAGACGUGGCUUGGAUAGACAGGUAACUCUUCAGCAGAAAGGUUCCGGAAGGUUCCUCACACUUCCUACCUACAGGCCAGUCACAUAUAGAAGAGGACUCCCCAGAUGCUGAAGAAAGAAAGCUCCCCAUUCGGAUGACUUGGACCUCCCAGACAGUAAGCCUGCAUCUUGCGAGCAAAGUAGCAGCCUUCUGCUUCCUGUGGAGUUCCAGUUUGACUGGCAUUGUGCUUGGUGGGUUUCCAGUUCCAUCAGCACCUAGGUGGUGGUCCUAGCAAUGGAAUCGAAGUCUUACCCACAGAGCAGCACUAUAUGUAACUGUCAAGACGUGGAUUCAUUAGCUCCAAGUUCAGUUCUGGAGGCUGGAAGUCCAAGAUCAAGAUGCCCUCACAGUCGGGUGCUGGUGAAGACUCUCUUCCAGGUUGCAGACUAGACUUCUCAUUGCAUCCUCACGCGGUAGAAGGCGCAAGCCAGCUCUCUGGGGUCUCUUUUAUAAGGGCACCAGCCCCAUUCAUGAGGGCUCCACCCUAAAGACCUAAUCCCCUCCCAAAGGCCCCAGCUCUUGACGCCAUCACCUUGGGCCUUAGGUUUUCGACUUACGAAUUUUGGGGAGACAAAAACAUUCAAACCAUAGCAACAGGAGUCUCCCAAAAGUUAUUUAUUCCUUUGGAAAGGAUGUCACUAAGGGCCACACUGCUUGUGGUAUUUGAGCCAAUAACGCCAUCCACCCACACCAGUCUGCCUUUACAGUGUCUAUUCAUGGCGCUUCUAAGUAUAGGUACGAGCAUCCACUUAUUUCCUUAUAUCUUCCAGUGUAGUCAAACCCAAGCAUUCACACAUUAAAUAUUUUAUUUAUAUUAUUUUUUUAUAAAUUACUUUCCAUUUGUUCCUCCUUUAUAUUGGGGCUUUAUAUUGUGGGGUUUUAUUUUGG
rnacentral:lncRNA from 1 species